GUGACAAUUGUGAAGAAGAUGACGGUAGAGAUCGGUGGGAGGUGACAGUGAGGAGAAUGGGAAGGAGGUGGGCACCACGAUGGCUUGGGAAGGCGAUGGUGGAUACCUGCGGGAGGUGGCAGUGAGGGGAGUGGAGAGGAGGCAGGCAUCUGCAAGAGGAGAGACGACGACGGAGAUCGAUAUAUGGGAGGUGAUAGCAGAGAUG
rnacentral:lncRNA from 1 species